CUCCGGUUCCAUUUAAGGGACCCGACUGCUAUCAGAGUGGGACUAAGCCAUGCGAGUCAACAUAGCAAUAUGUGGCAUACGGCUCAGUAACACGUAGUCAACAUGCCCAGGGGACGUGGAUAACCUCGGGAAACUGAGGAUAAACCGCGAUAGGUCAUCACUUCUGGAAUGGGUAAUGACUUAAAUCUAUAUGGCCCCUGGAUUGGACUGCGGCCGAUCAGGCUGUUGGUGAGGUAAUGGCCCACCAAACCUGUAACCGGUACGGGCUCUGAGAGGAGGAGCCCGGAGAUGGGCACUGAGACAAGGGCCCAGGCCCUAUGGGGCGCAGCAGGCGCGAAACCUCUGCAAUAGGCGAAAGCUUGACAGGGUUACUCUGAGUGAUUUCCGUUAAGGAGAUCUUUUGGCACCUCUAAAAAUGGUGUAGAAUAAGGGGUGGGCAAGUCUGGUGUCAGCCGCCGCGGUAAUACCAGCACCCCGAGUGGUCGGGACGUUUAUUGGGCCUAAAGCAUCCGUAGCCGGUUCUACAAGUCUUCCGUUAAAUCCACCUGCUUAACAGAUGGGCUGCGGAAGAUACUAUAGAGCUAGGAGGCGGGAGAGGCAAGCGGUACUCGAUGGGUAGGGGUAAAAUCCGUUGAUCCAUUGAAGACCACCAGUGGCGAAGGCGGCUUGCCAGAACGCGCUCGACGGUGAGGGAUGAAAGCUGGGGGAGCAAACCGGAUUAGAUACCCGGGUAGUCCCAGCUGUAAACGAUGCAGACUCGGUGAUGAGUUGGCUUAUUGCUAACUCAGUGCCGCAGGGAAGCCGUUAAGUUUGCCGCCUGGGGAGUACGGUCGCAAGACUGAAACUUAAAGGAAUGGCGGGGGGAGCA
rnacentral:rRNA from 1 species